rnacentral:rRNA from 1 species
GGAAGGUCCUCAGGCCGAAAGGGGCUCUGCCCGCCCGAGGAUGGGCCGGCGGCCGAUUAGGUAGUUGGUGGGGUAACGGCCCACCAAGCCGAAGAUCGGUACGGGCCAUGAGAGUGGGAGCCCGGAGAUGGACACUGAGACACGGGUCCAGGCCCUACGGGGCGCAGCAGGCGCGAAACCUCCGCAAUGCGGGCAACCGCGACGGGGGGACCCCCAGUGCCGUGGCAACGCCACGGCUUUUCCGGAGUGUAAAAAGCUCCGGGAAUAAGGGCUGGGCAAGGCCGGUGGCAGCCGCCGCGGUAAUACCGGCGGCCCGAGUGGUGGCCGCUAUUAUUGGGCCUAAAGCGUCCGUAGCCGGGCCCGUAAGUCCCUGGCGAAAUCCCACGGCUCAACCGUGGGGCUUGCUGGGGAUACUGCGGGCCUUGGGACCGGGAGAGGCCGGGGGUACCCCUGGGGUAGGGGUGAAAUCCUAUAAUCCCAGGGGGACCGCCAGUGGCGAAGGCGCCCGGCUGGAACGGGUCCGACGGUGAGGGACGAAGGCCAGGGGAGCGAACCGGAUUAGAUACCCGGGUAGUCCUGGCUGUAAAGGAUGCGGGCUAGGUGUCGGGCGAGCUUCGAGCUCGCCCGGUGCCGAAGGGAAGCCGU